rnacentral:misc_RNA from 1 species
GAUGAAGAAACGUAGUGAAAUGCGAUAAGUAAUGUGAAUUGCAGAAUUCAGUGAAUCAUCGAAUCUUUGAACGCACAUUGCGCCCGCCAGCAUUCUGGCGGGCAUGCCUGUUCGAGCGUCAUUUCAACCCUCGAGCCCCCCCGGGGGCCUCGGUGUUGGGGGACGGCACACCAGCCGCCCCCGAAAUGCAGUGGCGACCCCGCCGCAGCCUCCCCUGCGUAGUAGCACACACCUCGCACCGGAGCGCGGAGGCGGUCACGCCGUAAAACGCCCAACUUUCUUAGAGUUGACCUCGGAUCAGGUAGGAAUACCCGCUGAACUUAAGCAUAUCAAUAAGCGGAGGA